AGACCCGAAACCCGGUGAUCUAGCCAUGGGCAGGUUGAAGGUUGGGUAACACUAACUGGAGGACCGAACCGACUAAUGUUGAAAAAUUAGCGGAUGACCUGUGGCUGGGGGUGAAAGGCCAAUCAAACCGGGAGAUAGCUGGUUCUCCCCGAAAGCUAUUUAGGUAGCGCCUCGUGAAUUCAUCUCCGGGGGUAGAGCACUGUUUCGGCCAGGGGGCCAUCCCGGCUUACCAACCCGAUGCAAACUGCGAAUACCGGAGAAUGUUAUCACGGGAGACACACGGCGGGUGCUAACGUCCGUCGUGAAGAGGGAAACAACCCAGACCGCCAGCUAAGGUCCCAAAGUCAUGGUUAAGUGGGAAACGAUGUGGGAAGGCCCAGACAGCCAGGAUGUUGGCUUAGAAGCAGCCAUCAUUUAAAGAAAGCGUAAUAGCUCACUGGUCGAGUCGGCCUGCGCGGAAGAUGUAACGGGGCUAAACCAUGCACCGAAGCUGCGGCAGCGAACGUAUCACUUAAAGCGAUUCAGCGGAUGACGAUUGACGGAGCGAAGCGACGUCAAAGCGUUUUACAACGUCGAGUCGGUUUAAGGAUACGUUCGUUGGGUAGGGGAGCGUUCUGUAAGCCUGUGAAGGUGUGUCGUGAGGCAUGCUGGAGGUAUCAGAAGUGCGAAUGCUGACAUAAGUAACGAUAAUGCGGGUGAAAAACCCGCACGCCGGAAGACCAAGGGUUCCUGUCCAACGUUAAUCGGGGCAGGGUGAGUCGACCCCUAAGGCGAGGCCGAAAGGCGUAGUCGAUGGGAAACAGGUUAAUAUUCCUGUACCUGGUGUUACUGCGAAGGGGGGACGGAGAAGGCU
rnacentral:rRNA from 1 species